CUUUGCUGUGUCUCUGAUGCCAUGUGACCCCCUUUGCUGGGGCUCCAGCUCCUCCAUUGUAAGAUGGAGUCAGGUUCAGGGCUGUCUUAAGGGCCCUUUAACUCUGUCAGCCUGUGGUUCCAUGAUUCUCUCUGCCAGGUUUAGUCACCUAGAAACCAGCAGUUACUAGGAUCCCGUGCACGUCAGCAGUUGUCACUCUUUCCGGCUUCUGCAGUCCUUUUGUAGAGACAAGGAGCGUGGGCAGCCUGAAGUUGGACUGGGGAGGUGACGCAGCAAGAAGAGGAGGACCUGGUCUCUUCCCUAGCAUCUCCCUUUCAAUUGGUAGGAGGAAAACACCUCUCUGGGGCUGAGUCACCUUUCGUCCAUUCCAUUCUCCACAUGCCCCAUAACCCUAUCUCUUUACCCUGGGGUUGGGGGUAAGGUGAGUGGUUGGGUCCUAACCCAGAGCUAAGACAUCUGAACUCUAAGAACUUGGGAGCAGAGAUGGGCAUGCCCAGGCUUUCAUUAGCCAGCAAGUCCUGACUGGUUGUAUGUGAUAUGAUCACACCUCACCCUAAAACUUUUCUAGACCAUCCCCAUCCUAUUCUCUCUGAGUCCAUUUAUCCUUCCCCAGAGUGCUGCAGAGAAGACACAGCUAUGAUGAGUUAUUCAUGGAGUCCACGUUCUCCCCACUAGCCUUCUUGAGGCAGGGCCCAAUUGUAUCUUCUUUGACCUUUCCAAAACUGAAGGUUGGGACUGACUCCACGGUGCUGGCCUGUCUAUGGCCCACCCCAAACCUCAAUGUUGAAAAUCGAUCCCAUUCCUGACCUGGAAAAUGCCUUCUGAGUUGGGGAUUAUGAACAGGGAUGGAUAAAAAGGAGGGGACUUGGACGAAGUGGCUUCACAUCCAUUUAGACUGACUCCAAGGAGAGGCUGAUUAAUCGGAUUUAGGCUGAGGACCGAAAAGGGGAUAAAGCUGAAGGUUCAAACAAGUGGUGGAAGGAGUAUGGAAAUUAAUCUUGUGGAAGUGGUUCUCUGUGUGAGAAACAUCGGCCUGACCACCUGACUUUCUGAUCACAUUCCACUGGGAAAAAGUCCAAGGAACAUCCCUAUCACAUUCUGCUGGAACAAGGACCAAGUCACCUCAUCAUGGGAACAUCUUAUCAAUAGCCUGUUGGGCAGCAAGCCAUACUGCCCAGACCCCUCCCUCCCAUACCUGCAAAGGCCCAACUAAAGAAACCUCCCUAUCCUGUCUUACUGGGCAAAGGCCCAAGGAACACCAUGAUGACAUCCCACCAGAAAAAGGGUCAAACCACCCUAUCAUGGGUACAUCUUAUUGAUAUCCUGCCGGGCAGCAAGCCACACUAUCCAGACUUCUCCCAGCCAUACCU
rnacentral:lncRNA from 10 species